GGGGNCUUAGCUCAGCUGGGAGAGCGCCUGCUUUGCACGCAGGAGGUCAGCGGUUCGAUCCCGCUAGNCUCCACCA
rnacentral:tRNA from 1 species